AGGGGGAACCUGGACGCAGCAACGCCGCGUCGGAGGAUGACACUUUUCGGAGCGUAAACUCCUUUUCUUAGGGAAGAAUUCUGACGGUACCUAAGGAAUAAGCACCGGCUAACUCCGUGCCAGCAGCCGCGGUAAUAACGUGCCAGCAGCCGCGGUAAUAA
rnacentral:rRNA from 1 species